rnacentral:misc_RNA from 1 species
ACAAGACACACCUCGGGCCUCCCUCCCCUCGCAAGGGGGGCGGGCGGCACCGGUCCUGGGGGCUCGUGGCGUCAGCGCCACGCCCUCGAAAUGCAUCGGAUGGCGGAACCCACCAGCCCGUGCCCGACGUAGUAAACUUCAUUCUCGACGGGACCACGCCUGGCAGUUCCUGCCGAUGAGACCCCACAGCAU